rnacentral:rRNA from 1 species
UAAAAUAAUUAAGGGCACACAAAGGAUGCCUAGGUAGUAAGAGCCGAUGAAGGACGUGGUAAGCUGCGAUAAGCCUAGAUAAGUUGCAAUCGAACGUAAGAGUCUAGGAUUUCCGAAUGGAGCAAUCUAUUAAGAUGGAGUCUUAAUACGAAAGAGGGAACCGCGUGAACUGAAACAUCUAAGUAACGCGAGGAAAAGAAAGUAAAAACGAUACCCAAAGUAGCGGCGAGCGAAAUGGGUCAAGCCUAAACCUUAAAUAUGUCAAGGAUACAGCCGUUGUAUUUAGGGGGUUGAGGGACAGAGUAGUGAAGAACUGUAAGAUAUUCAAUAUAGUGUAUUGAUGAAUUGGAAUUGUCUGGAAAGGCGAACCGUAGAAGGUGAAAGUCCUGUACAAGUAAAUCCUUACACAUAUAACUCUGCUCCCAAGUAACAUGGAACACGAGGAAUUCUGUGUGAAUCUGUGAGGACCAUAUCUCAUAAGGCUAAAUACUCUUACUAACCGAUAGCGCAUAGUACCGUGAGGGAAAGGUGAAAAGAACCCCUGGAGGGGAGUGAAAUAGAACCUGAAAUUGUGUGCUUACAAGCGGUCAGAGCCAGUAAUGGUGAUGGCGUGCCUUUUGGAGAAUGAUCCUGCGAGUUACGUUAAACGGCGAGGUUAAGUAUAACGGAGCCGAAGGGAAACCAAGUCUUAAUAGGGCGAUUUAGUCGUUUGGCGUAGACGCGAAACCUGGUGAUCUAAACCUGUCCAGGAUGAAGCUGUGGUAAGACACAGUGGAGGUCCUAACCCACCGCCGUUGAAAAGUUGGGGGAUGAGGUAGGUUUAGGGGUGAAAAGCCAAUCGAACCAGGAGAUAGCUCGUUCUCUCCGAAAUGCAUCUAGGUGCAGCCUUGAGUGUUCAAUUAUGGGGGUAGAGCACUGAAUGAUCUAGGGGGCGUAUUGCUUACUGAAAUCAAUCAAACUCCGAAUACCAUAAUUUAUAGCUCAGGAGUGAGACUAUGGGAGUUAACUUCCAUUGUCGAAAGGGAAACAACCCAGACCACCAGCUAAGGUCCCUAAUUAUAACUAAGUGGGAAAGGAGGUGGAGAUUCACAAACAACUAGGAGGUUGGCUUAGAAGCAGCCAUACCUUUAAAGAGUGCGUAAUAGCUCACUAGUCGAGAGUCUCUGCGCCGACAAUGUAACGGGGCUAAGUUAUAAACCGAAGCUGUGGAAUCCGUAAGGAUUGGUAGGAGAGCGUUCUGUAGGCCGUUGAAGGAGAAGGGUAACCGACUCUGGAGGUAUCAGAAGUGAGAAUGCAGGAAUAAGUAGCGAGAAAGGGGGCGAGAAUCCCCCUCGCCGGAAGACCAAGGUUUUCAGGGUAAAGCUUGUCUUCCCUGAGUAAGCCGGGACCUAAGCCCAGGCUAUAAUGCGUAGGCGAAUGGAAAACAGAUUAAUAUUUCUGUGCCAGUCAUAUAUUGUGAUGGAGGGACGCAGAAGGGUAUGCGCGCGGACGAACGGAAGUGUCCGUAGAAGUAUGUAGGAUGACUUGAUAGGAAAAUCCAUUGAGUUAUAUCUGAGGUAUGAUAUACAGUCGUAAGAUGAAUGCGCAAAUCCCACGCUGCCAAGAAAAGCUUCUAACGUUAAUAUUUGACUGCCCGUACUGCAAACCGACACAGGUGGUCAGGAUGAGAAAUCUAAGGCGGACAGGCUAACUCUCGUUAAGGAACUCUGCAAAAUAACCUCGUAACUUCGGGAGAAGAGGAGCCCUUGAGGGUCAGUAUCCACGCGAUACAAAGCGCUCGAGGGUCGCAGUGAAGAGGCUCAAGCAACUGUUUAACAAAAACACAGGUCUAUGCUAAGCUGGAAGGCGAUGUAUAUGGGCUGACACCUGCCCAGUGCUGGAAGGUUAAGAGGAGGAGUGAGAGCUCCGAAUUGAAGCCCCAGUGAACGGCGGCCGUAACUAUAACGGUCCUAAGGUAGCGAAAUUCCUUGUCGGGUAAG